CGGGAGGCAGCAGUAGGGAAUAUUGCACAAUGGAGGAAACUCUGAUGCAGCGAUGCCGCGUGAGUGAAGAAGGCCUUUGGGUUGUAAAGCUCUUUCGUCGGGGAAGAAAAUGACGGUACCCGAAUAAGAAGGUCCGGCUAACUUCGUGCCAGCAGCCGCGGUAAUACGAAGGGACCUAGCGUAGUUCGGAAUUACUGGGCUUAAAGAGUUCGUAGGUGGUUAAAAAAGUUGGUUGUGAAAUCCCGAAGCUUAACUUCGGAACUGCAAUCAAAACUUUUUAGCUAGAGUAUGAUAGAGGAAAGCAGAAUUUCUAGUGUAGAGGUGAAAUUCGUAGAUAUUAGAAAGAAUACCAAUUGCGAAGGCAGCUUUCUGGAUCAUUACUGACGCUGAGGAACGAAAGCAUGGGUAGCGAAGAGGAUUAGAUACCCUCGUAGUCCAUGCCGUAAACGAUGUGUGUUAGACGUUGGAAAUUUAUUUUCAGUGUCGCAGCGAAGGCAGUAAACACACCGCCUGGGGAGUACGACCGCAAGGUUAAAACUCAAAUGAAAUUG
rnacentral:rRNA from 1 species